AAAAGGACCGGAUCCACCCGUGUGUACGUCUAAGCCGCGUUCAGGAGUCUUAAAGUUCGGGUUCAUCGCUGCGGGCGAGUCUCAUGCGCCGAACCCUCUGCUGGCGGCACAUUUCAGUGACAAAGAAUCUUCAAACAGAUUCAACCUGCUCAAUGAAUUCUGUCACUUCAGGGAAAUGACAACUGUUUUCAAGUUGGCCGAUAAAGUCGCUGCUGUGUGGGCGAGUGAACAGCGGAAUAUUCUACAUGUUUCAGACGUUGACCGGGUGGAAGAGGCUUUUCAAAGAGUUUGAGCGGUACUCCAACCGCAAAAGACCCGACUGCAAAAGAAUAGACCUGCAACCCAUUUGUAAACAAACCCACCCGGUGAAUCGAGCCCGUCCGAGCUAGAAAAAAAAUGUGCUGGAGAUGCAAAUGACGGCGAACUCUGCCGGUGUUCUAAUGACAGCGACCAGAACUCGGUGAGGAGCAGCGGACCAAUCACACGUCUGUGUCGCCGUCUCCAUUAGCGGCUCGUUGCAGCGAGGUGUUGGGUCGUCGUCCUUCCCGCUCGGAGAGCCUCCUGCGCGGCCGGAGGAGCAGAGAGGAGGCGCGCGGAUGGAGGAGGAGAGGAGGAGACCGGAGGAGCGGAUGCAGGGAGUUUUCUGCUGCUGGAGGCUGGAGCGCUCACACGCAGCAAGCUGGCCUCAAAGCCACGUGCAAGCUCGACGUGGUUUCCGGUGGGGAUUUUCAAAAUAAGAAUUGGGUUGCACAUUUUAAAUGGAGAAAAUCUAAUUUCUCUCAUAUUAAAAUGUGCAACACUUGCGUCUCAGAAUAAAAAAAUUAAUCAGCAAAUAAAAUGAACGUACAGCGAACACAAGGUGAUUUAAAUGUAAACAAUAAAAUAAGAAAACAAGCCAACCAAAUCAAGACAUAAGUCAAUCAUACAUUAAUAUUUUAAAAAAUGUUCUUUAGACCUUGUUUUUUUUGUCUUGUUUGUUUUCCCACGAAAUAUUGUCAUGUUUAAAAAAAAAAGAUAUUUAAUAAUAAUAAUGCAUUUAGAUUAUAAAGCACUUUUCAUUAAUAAAUAAUCGCAAAGUGCAACAGAGCCAGUAGUCAGUAAAAAACAAAAUAUAAUAGAAAUAGAAAUAUUAAAUAAAAAAAUAGCUGGUGAUUUCAAACCAAGUAAAAAACACCUUCCUGAAUAAAAAGCGUGUUUUGGCCAAUCGUAAGAGUCCAGUGUCUGUGUUUGACCUGUAUUUCAUUAAAUUAAUGUGAUUAAGUAUUUAAAGUAGUCUGUGCUAAUACACAGAACAUAAAUAUCAUAUUUUGUUUGACUUUUCCAACCGUCCUUAUAAACUUUUACUCUGAAGGCCCACUCACUCCAUAUCCGGAAUAUAUUGCACUUCAGUAGUACUUGACGGAAAUCUCAGCUCCUCAUUCAGCGUUGCAUUCAGGUGCCGUCGGAAAAUGAUGGAGGCUCAAACAUGAAGGCAGGUGCAUGAUUGAUUAUUAAGAACUUAAUGGUGUCACGUGUUGGUUUUCAAACAGUUUUCAAUGUUUAAAAAAAAAGCAUUCAAAGCUUUAUAUUUUAAGAACUUUUCACCAAUAUGAGAUCAUUUCCUUUUACUCAGGCAACAACGUCUAUGCGUCAUAUGUUAAAGCUGCCUGUCCACUAGAGGGCGACUCAUUUGGUUGUAUAGAAGUAUAUGCUUCAUGUGUUAAAGCUGCAUUAUCUCUCCCGACCACUAGAGGGCGACUCAUUUGGUUGUAUAGAAGUCUAUGCUUCAUGUGUUAAAGCUACAUUCUCUCUCCUGACCACCAGGGGGCGACUCUGGUUGUAUAGAAGUCUAUUCUUGACUACUUCUCUCUUGAUGUAUUCCCUCAGUAAACAUGAGUUUAUGUCUCAGUCUCUA